rnacentral:rRNA from 1 species
UGGGGAAUCUUGCUCAAUGGGCGCAAGCCUGAAGCAGCAACGCCGCGUGAGGGAUGAAGGCCUUCGGGUUGUAAACCUCUUUCAGCAGGGACGAAAAUGACGGUACCUGCAGAAGAAGCCCCGGCCAACUACGUGCCAGCAGCCGCGGUAAUACGUAGGGGGCGAGCGUUGUCCGGAUUUAUUGGGCGUAAAGAGCUCGUAGGCGGUUCGGUAAGUCGGGUGUGAAAGUCCGAGGCUCAACCUCGGGAAGCCACCCGAUACUGCUAUGACUGGAGUCCGGUAGAGGAGUGUGGAAUUCCUGGUGUAGCGGUGAAAUGCGCAGAUAUCAGGAGGAACACCAAUGGCGAAGGCAGCACUCUGGGCCGGUACUGACGCUGAGGCACGAAAGCAUGGGGAGCAAACAGGAUUAGAUACCCUAGUAGUCCCUGAGCGGGCUGGCAAGGCGCAU